rnacentral:rRNA from 1 species
CAGCAGCCACGGUAAUACAGAGGGUGCGAGCGUUAAUCGGAUUUACUGGGCGUAAAGCGUGCGUAGGCGGCUUUUUAAGUCGGAUGUGAAAUCCCUGAGCUUAACUUAGGAAUUGCAUUCGAUACUGGGAAGCUAGAGUAUGGGAGAGGAUGGUAGAAUUCCAGGUGUAGCGGUGAAAUGCGUAGAGAUCUGGAGGAAUACCGAUGGCGAAGGCAGCCAUCUGGCCUAAUACUGACGCUGAGGUACGAAAGCAUGGGGAGCAAACAGGAUUAGAUACCCCAGUAGUCCCUGUCUCUUAUCC